UAUGAGAAUAGCAGUAAUUAGCCAGAGAGCAGAAAUCAAACACACAAUGGAUUUUAGGGUCCAGAUUUUCAGCUUUCUGCUAAUCAGUGUGACAGUGUCCAGUGGAGAAAUUGUACUCACCCAGUCUCCAGCAAUCAUGGCUGCAUCUCCAGGGGAGAAGGUCACCAUGACCUGCACUGCCAGCUCAAGUAUAAGUUCCAGUUACUUGCACUGGUACCAGCAGAAGUCAGGCACCUCCCCCAAACUCUGGAUUUAUAGCACAUCCAACCUGGCUUCUGGAGUUCCAAAUCGCUUCAGUGGCAGUGGGUCUGGGACCUCUUACUCUCUCACAAUCAGCAAGAUGGAGGCUGAAGAUGUUGCCACUUAUUACUGCCAGCAGUGGAGUAGUUCCCCACCCACACAGCAAGUGUGGCAGGCACUUUUCCUCAGCUCUUUUGCUGAUGGUUCCCACGAACUUUCACAUCUCUUUUCUGCUAGUUUCACUCAUUUUAGGCUCUUUAUG